UUGAAAAUGCACCUCCAUGUAGUGUGUAACACAGCUCUAAGUGAAGUUAAAGGAAGUUAAAGGAAGGCGUUUAUUAAAGGAAGAAUCAGUAAAGUGUACUGAUUGACAUGUCAGGACAUGAAUCGAUUUCUUCCUCCAUUUCUCAAGUGUAAGUACAUGCGAUUAAAGUUGUUGCCUCGUUUACUCUAGCUUGCAAAUGUAUUUAGUUGUGAUUUGUUACUUAUAACUGCAUGUACUGUAUCAGGUUAACUCGCUGUUACGAAUUCUCCAUGUAUGCCUGUCAGAGAGUAUGAGCAUGCAGUACACCAAGUACGCCUCAAGGUGGCACUGUUUGAUCACAUAUGGACAUUUAGUGAACUGAUUACAGGCAUCGUGCUUUAGUGUUGCAUCAGCCAUUCCGUCUGGAAAGUUCGCUCGAUUGCACGCAUUAUUGGGACAAUGUAUGAGUGACAGACAAAGUAAGUUUAAUGUUAUUUGCUUAUAUACUGUUAUUUGAAGAUUGAAUCAACAGCAAACACUGUUUAGCAGUUUAAAUGUGUUUAUUAUGCACAAUCUGUUUACUAUCGCGAUCUGUUCAUUGCCCGUGAAUUGUGCUCUGUAAUAUGAGACGCUGAUCAUUGAAAGUGUAAAUUGAUGAUCAUUAUAAUUUGUAUUAACAAAGGAAUAAGUGUACACUUGAUACUUUGUAUACUAAGAUAUAUUUCAGUUUAUUUGUUAUUUGUAUAAGAAUGUUUCAGUAAUUAAUUUGUAAUUCUUUUGUUCUUUAUUGUUCUCAGAAACCUUGCAUUUGUCCAUCUCAGCAAUCAUUAAAGCUACAUAUAUCAUUUAAUACUGACUCCAAGUUCUCUAAUCGGAACCCUGUGGCGGUUAGCAAACAUCGGUCCAGUAAUUAAUCCCUAAUUGUAACAUGGUCCUUCGAGCCGGAGCUAACUACUACAGACAUGUCAGUAUCUGAAGCAAACUCUUCCAGUCCAGUUCAGAGGUCAGUGAGGCUACGUACACUUCCUGCGCAUCUGGAAAACUAUAUUUUGGAUAUCAAUCUUCCUAGUUGUCUUCCAUCAAGCACUUUUGCAGCGAAUGUAGUUGGAGAUAUAUUGGCAUCAUCUACGCUCGCUCCCAUGAGUAAAUCAGAGCAAAUUCAGUCAAAUAAAGAACUUUCAUUGAGAGAACUGAUGGAGAACCUCUCCGCAGCGGAGCAGGAGGAAUCAAAUGAGAUCGCACAGCUCACAAGCAGAUUGUCUCUUUAUGAGAAAAGGCAGCAGCGUCGACAGGAUAUGAUGCUGCGAAUUAAUGCAUUCCUACAUGAAGAGGAAGCCGACAGCCUUAUAGUACAAGGUGCAGACGCAGCCAUACAGAAGGGAGCACAUUCCCAGGAGUCUGUUCCUCACAUUUCCUCGACUGCUGAACACUCAUCAAAGAUACCAGCUAUUUAUUUAGCAUCUCAGCCUGCAUUAAUGAGCCCAGAACAGAAGAGAUCUGACCUCCCUCCUAUCUCAUCAGCACCGGUAACUCCUAAUACACCUUAUGUAGUCCAGUCUACUAACAUAGCCCCGCCUGCAUCGCAGACGCUUCCAUUACACAAUGUGAGUUCCAUUCACUCUAUGCCAUCAUCAUAUUUCAUGUCUCCACGACUGCACGCUGACCCAGACGCAGCACAGAUACAAAUACGUACACCUGUACAAUAUGGACAUCAGUCACCCCCCAAACUUAUAAGGUCCUCAGGCCUGGAGGAUGCUCCUCGACUGCCCCAACAGCAAUGGGCCAUAAAUUAUCCCGUUACAGUGCCUCACAUGCAGCCUUCUGUAGCCCAUCCAGGCAAUCAUUAUGCCUAUUCAGCACAGCCUGAUUACCGUAGUGCCUAUCACCAGCCGUAUGCAGUGCACUCAAAUGAAUGGCCACAGCCUAUUGACUAUCGUGCAGCACCCCCAGUUCAUAUGCCCCUGUAUGGAGCACCGAAGCCUUCAAUUCCAGAUUUUAAUGCAGACAAUGAAAGGGAUUUCGCCAAUCUAAAACUGGCAUUAGACAAUCUACUAGAUUCACAUCCAGAACUAUCAGAAAAAUACAAGUAUCACGUGCUGCUAGAGCAUCUCAAACUCCCAGAGGCUCAAAUGAUCGGCCAAUCAUGCCGACAUGAAGCUCAUCCUUAUACAUCAGCAAUGCAAGCUCUUCAGUUACAUUAUGGACAGCCUCAUCAGUUAGCUCAGAGCGAAAUUGCAGCUAUUCUGAAUGCUCCAGAUGUUAAAGUUGGUGAUGCUAGUAGCUUCCAGUCAUUUGCUUUAAGAGUUCACCUUCUUGUGAGUAUGCUGUUAUCUCUGGAAGGAUCCAGAGGUAUUGAACUUAGCUGCUGUUCCCAUGUAGAUAGGCUCCUCAGCAAACUCCCUAAGUAUCUCAGAGACAACUUCAUUGAAUAUUUGCAGAUACAAGGUAAGCUGAAUGUCUCCAGUCUCAACCCAUAUAACCUCAGAGACUUCUCUGGCUGGCUUCAAGGUAAAGCUCAGCAGCAGCGCCUGUCCAAUAAGCUAGUUGAACGUUAUCAGAAAGAAAAGUUUAUCCCCCAAGCACAUGGGAGAACCUCAACGCGACCUAGAGGUCAGAGUACUUUAGUCUACCAUGGGGUAGAAUCCCAAAGCAAUAGAGCUCCUAAGCCGGAGUCUCAGCCCCCUCAGUGGAGAAAAUCCAAAGUGCAUUGUCUGUUCUGCCACAGUAAAGAUCACUACAUAACACAGUGCUCAGAUAUUAAGGAGCAGUCAGCAGAUAAUCUCAUGCAGUGGAUAGUAGAGGGAAAACGAUGUUGGAAGUGUGGUCGUUCUCAUUCUCCAGAGAGCUGUAAUCUGAGAAAACCCUGCGGUAUGUGUGGAGAAAUACACCUUCAAGUGCUCCAUGGAGCUGCAGAGAAGCGAUUCAAAGCUAAGCAGACUACUGCACUGAGUAGCAGAAUCUAUCUCACCCCUUCUAACUCCUCAGGUCGAGUCUUGCUGAAAGUGGUGCCAGUGCUGCUGCAUAACGAGGACAGGACCAUCGAGACAUUCGCUAUACUUGAUGAUGGAGCAGAACGAACCAUGCUGCUGCCCACAGCAGCUCAAAAGCUGCAGCUGGAGGGUAAGGAAGAAACCUUAGCCUUACGUACUAUUCGCCAUGAUGUUACAUUCCUUACUGGUUCGAUUGUUACCUUUGAUGUGUCCUCCAUGCUCAAUUCUGGAACCAGAUAUAGGAUUCAAAAUGCAUUUACUGCUGCUGGUUUAGAUCUGGUGGAGCAGAGCUACCCUAUAAAGGCUCUCCAACACAAAUAUGCACACUUAAGGAAUCUUCCACUGCAGCCUUUCAAGAAUGUUCAACCCUUGUUGUUGAUUGGGUCAGAUAAUAGCACUCUGAUCACAGCGGAGAAGACAGUUCAAGCCAGCAAUCAGAUGGGACCAGUUGCAGUUCGCACAAAGCUGGGCUGGGCUCUUCAAGGCCCAGAAGGCCUCCUAAACAAAGGUACCACAAUGACUCAGAGCUAUUUCUUUACUGCCUCAGCAGCACACGACACACUUUAUAGAGAUGUGGAAAGACUGUGGCAAUUAGACUCAUUACCAUACCGCAGCGAGAAGGUUGUAAUUCGCUCUAGACAAGACCAAGAGUCCAUCAAGAUUCUUGAUACUAAAACGUGCAGAUUAUUGGUUAAUGAUGUGGAACGUUAUGCCACCCCACUCUUACGCCCAGCAGAAGCUCCUAAGCUGAGAGCUCCUAAAGAGUCGGUACUAGCCAAUCUACGUAACACAGAAAAGAGACUCCGAGAUCAGCCGGAGAAAGCAGCUGCUUAUAAGGGAGAAAUGAAUAGGCUGAUUCAGGCUGGCUAUGUGAAGCAGAUUACUGCAGAGGAAGCUGAAAACUCAGAGGAGUCCUGGUAUCUGCCACAUCAUCUCGUUUAUCAUAAUGAUAAAGCACGGCUAGUGUUCAAUUGUUCCCAUGUAUACAAGGGCACCUCCCUAAACGAUCAGUUACUGCCAGGUCCGAACCUGGGGCCUUCUCUAAUUGGGGUCCUACUGCGAUUCCGGCAACAUCAAGUGGCAAUCAGUGGGGAUAUAAGAGGAAUGUUCCACCAGGUUCACCUGUUGCCUGAGGACACUCCGUUGCUACGGUUCCUUUGGAGGGACUUACAGCAGGAAGCCUCACCAGAGAUAUAUGAAUGGCAGGUGCUACCUUUUGGGACAACAAGUAGUCCCUGCUGCGCUAUCUACGCAUUACAGAGGCAUGUCAGAGAACACCCACGCAGCACUCCAGGUCUCAUUGAGUCAGUCGAGCGCAGCUUCUAUGUUGAUAAUUGUUUGGAGAGUCACCCCAAUGGUGCAGCAGCCCAAGCUAGAGUUGAUGACUUGCGUAGUUUACUAGCUGAUGGUGGAUUUGAUAUCAGACAAUGGGCUAGCAAUCGAUUAUCAGUUGUGGCUCACCUACCCCCUGAAGCCAGGUCUAAGGACAUGGAGCUGUGGCUAGAGCAUAAUCGGAGUGAUCAAAGAGAGCCUGCAUUAGGACUCUGCUGGAACUGUAGUUCAGAUACACUGGGCUACAGAUAUCGACCCAUUGAGUACUCAACUCUGACCAUGCGCACAAUUUAUAAGAUACUGGCCAGUCAGUACGACCCGCUAGGGUUCCUUACGCCAUACCUAACCAGAGCUAAAGUUCUUGUGCAGCAGCUGUGGGCAAAGAGGAGAGACUGGGAUGAUCCAGAUCUCCCUCUAGAUCUAUGUGAAUCCUGGAAGCAAUGGGAGAGUGAAUUGCCAAAUAUCAGUGCCAUCUCAAUCCCUCGUAGUUAUCUCCCAGAUGGAAUGGAUCAGCCCAACACUGAACACCACCUUCAUGUUUUCUGUGACGCCUCUGAGAAGGCGUACGGAGCAGUAGCCUACCUCUCAUCCACACAAGGUGGUGCUACCAAUGUAGCAUUCGUCAUGGCCAGAUCAAAGGUUGCCCCUAAACGACAACAGACUAUGCCACGACUGGAGUUGUGUGCAGCGCUGGCAGGAGCGCAGCUUGCCAAUCUGAUCCAGACAGAAUUGUCAGUCACACUGCAAAGGACUACACUGUGGACAGACUCCACGACAGUUCUAGAGUGGUUGCAAUCAGAAUCAUGUAGAUUUAAGGUAUUCGUUGGUGCUCGUGUAUCAGAGAUACAAGAACUUACAGAUCUGCGAGCCUGGCGUUAUGUGGAUACGCUGAGUAAUCCAGCGGAUGACUUGACAAGAGGAAAGAAACUUCUAGAUCUAGCUACUCCCAACAGGUGGAGUAAAGGGCCAUCCUUUCUGUUGCAAGCUCCUGACUGUUGGCCAGAGAAACCACAUACUGCUCCAUUACUCCAGUCAGAUGAACUGAGAAAUAUAACACUCUGCAACUUAGUAUCGGUACAACAGCAGGACAGUGUGCCAGAUGCAAGUCAGUUCACAUCAUGGAAGGACCUAGUCGAAGCUGUCCGCCUCCAAUGUCAGGGUACAGGAGAGCCUGCUCAAACUCAGCCAAGCAAUAGUUACCGUGCAGCUGAACUCACCCUUCUAAGAGCAUGCCAAGAAAGCAGCUUUCCAGAGGAGCUCACCUCACUUAAGACAGGCCAGCCCGUUCAUAUCAACAGCAGGCUCAGGCACUUAGCACCAGAGCUGGACGAGGCAACUAACCUUAUCAGAGUAGGAGGGAGGCUACGACGGAUGCAGCCGAUCAGUGACUUUGAGAUCCAUCCUAUAGUGCUCGACUCACGUCAUCCUGCCACUGCCCUUCUUAUCAAAGACUAUGACGAGCGCCUGCUGCAUAGUGGAUCUGAGAGAGUCUUCGCAGAGAUCAGAAGGCAGUAUUGGAUCUUGAAGGGGCGGCAGGCUAUAAAGAAACAUCAGCUUCAAUGCACAGAGUGCCAACGAUGGAGAGCUCGCCCUAGAAUUCCUCAAAUGGCAGACCUACCAUCAGCUCGCCUCCGUAUCUUUUCUCCACCAUUUCACUCAACGGGCAUUGACUGCUAUGGGCCAUUCAUUGCUAAGAUUGGCAGGCGCCAUGAGAAGAGAUGGGGAGUGAUUUUCAAGUGUUUAACAACCCGUGCAGUACACUUGGAUCUGCUCAAUUCAAUGGAUACGGAUGCUUUCUUACUUGCCCUCCGUCGAUUCAUUGCACGGCGAGGCAGACCAGUGGAGAUUCUCUCAGAUCGAGGCACUAAUUUUCGAGGGGCAGAUGCGGAAUUGAGAGCAGCCUUUGAGGAAAUGGAAACACAGCUUCAACAGCAGCUGGCAAGUUACCAGAUUGAGUUUAAAUUCAACCCACCUAAUGCUCCACAUUUCGGAGGUGUAUGGGAGCGGGAGAUUCGCUCCAUCAAGAAUGCACUCCAGGUUGCUGUGGGAACUCAACCUCUACCAGAGGAUGUGCUACACACCAUCCUUGUUGAAGUAGAAGGUAUCAUUAACUCCAAGCCUCUUGGAUAUGUUUCAGCUGACAUCGCUGACCCUGAUCCUAUAACCCCAAACAUGCUCCUCAUGGGGCGGCGGGAUGCUUCCCUGCCGCAAGCCGUUUAUGCUCCUGAAACUAUAGGACGACGAAGAUGGAGGCAUUGUCAAAAUAUCAUAGAGCAUUUCUGGAUUCAUUUCUUGCGAGACUACCUGCCAGCACUUCAAUCUCGCUACAAAUGGCAGCAACAAAAGGAAGCCAUUGCAUUAGGGACUGUGGUAAUGAUAGUAGAUCCUAAUCUACCACGUGCAGACUGGCCUGUGGGACGAGUGCUGAAGCUCUUUCCGAGUCAAGACGGCAAAGUACGAGCAGUCGAAAUUCAAGUAAAGGAUAAAGUCUACACUCGUCCUGUGGCACGACUUAUUCCCCUACCAGGGCUGCCAGACAGUGCUAAAGAUCAGUCAGCAUAAAGAAUUCUCUUGAUAUACACAUUUGCUACUCAAAUGUGGGGGCGGCUGUUACGAAUUCUCCAUGUAUGCCUGUCAGAGAGUAUGAGCAUGCAGUACACCAAGUACGCCUCAAGGUGGCACUGUUUGAUCACAUAUGGACAUUUAGUGAACUGAUUACAGGCAUCGUGCUUUAGUGUUGCAUCAGCCAUUCCGUCUGGAAAGUUCGCUCGAUUGCACGCAUUAUUGGGACAAUGUAUGAGUGACAGACAAAAAACCUUGCAUUUGUCCAUCUCAGCAAUCAUUAAAGCUACAUAUAUCAUUUAAUACUGACUCCAAGUUCUCUAAUCGGAACCCUGUGGCGGUUAGCAAACAUCGGUCCAGUAAUUAAUCCCUAAUUGUAACACUCGCUAUAUUCUCAUAUCGCGUGCAAAGCCACGUUAAAAACGCGAUAUGUGUGGGCUAUGUGUUAGCGUGUGUGCACGUUGUCGUCCGGAGGAGGG